rnacentral:rRNA from 1 species
UUAUAAAUAAAGUUUAAUUAAAUAGAGAUUAAAUGGAAUCAUUAAAUUUAAAUAAUUUGGCGGUAUUUUAAAUAGUUAGAGGAAUUUGUUAAUUAAAUGAUACUCCACGAAUGGAAGAUCCUAAUAGAUUUUUAUGUAUUGUUGUAUAAAAAUUAUUUUAUGAGAAUAAUAAUUAUAAAAUUUAAUUUAAUUUAAAUUCAAAUCAAAAUGUAGAAUUAUUAGGUUUAAAUGAAUUACAGUUUAAUAUAAUAAUAGAAUUAAUUUUUUAAUUAAAUUAAUAAAAAAGGAUUUAAAAGUAAAUAUAAAAAAAUAUUUAA